rnacentral:rRNA from 1 species
GGAAUUUUGGACAAUGGGGGCAACCCUGAUCCAGCCAUUCCGCGUGAGUGAAGAAGGCCUUCGGGUUGUAAAGCUCUUUCGGACGGAACGAAACGGUUAGGACCAAUACUCCUGACUAAUGACGGUACCGUAAGAAGAAGCACCGGCUAACUACGUGCCAGCAGCCGCGGUAAUACGUAGGGAGCGAGCGUUAAUCGGAAUUACUGGGCGUAAAGCGUGCGCAGGCGGUUAUUUAAGACAGGUGUGAAAUCCCCGGGCUUAACCUGGGAAUGGCGCUUGUGACUGGAUAGCUAGAGUGCGGCAGAGGGGGGUGGAAUUCCACGUGUAGCAGUGAAAUGCGUAGAGAUGUGGAGGAACACCGAUGGCGAAGGCAGCCCCCUGGGCCAGCACUGACGCACAUGCACGAAAGCGUGGGGAGCAAAC